AACGCUAGCUACAGGCUUAACACAUGCAAGUCGAGGGGUAGCAGGGUAGCAAUACCGCUGACGACCGGCGCACGGGUGAGUAACACGUAUCCAACCUUCCGUUUACUCGGGGAUAGGCUUUCGAAAGAAAGAUUAAUACCCGAUGGUAUAUACCGAUCUCCUGAUCUUUAUAUUAAAGAAAUUCGGUAAACGAUGGGGAUGCGUUCCAUUAGGCAGUUGGCGGGGUAACGGCCCACCAAACCUACGAUGGAUAGGGGUUCUGAGAGGAAGGUCCCCCACAUUGGAACUGAGACACGGUCCAAACUCCUACGGGAGGCAGCAGUGAGGAAUAUUGGUCAAUGGGCGUAGGCCUGAACCAGCCAAGUAGCGUGAAGGAUGACUGCCCUAUGGGUUGUAAACUUCUUUUAUAAGGGAAUAAAGUGGAGUAUGUAUACUCUUUUGUAUGUACCUUAUGAAUAAGGAUCGGCUAACUCCGUGCCAGCAGCCGCGGUAAUACGGAGGAUCCGAGCGUUAUCCGGAUUUAUUGGGUUUAAAGGGAGCGUAGGCGGAUGUUUAAGUCAGUUGUGAAAGUUUAAGGCUCAACCUUGAAAUUGCAGUUGAUACUGGACGUCUUGAGUGCAUUAAAUGUGGGCGGAAUUCGUGGUGUAGCGGUGAAAUGCUUAGAUAUCACGAAGAACUCCGAUUG
rnacentral:rRNA from 1 species